rnacentral:rRNA from 1 species
UGUGUUGAGGAAGAUAAUGACGGUACUCAACAAGGAAGUGACGGCUAACUACGUGCCAGCAGCCGCGGUAAAACGUAGGUCACAAGCGUUGUCCGGAAUUACUGGGUGUAAAGGGAGCGCAGGCGGGAAGACAAGUUGGAAGUGAAAUCCAUGGGCUCAACCCAUGAACUGCUUUCAAAACUGUUUUUCUUGAGUAGUGCAGAGGUAGGCGGAAUUCCCGGUGUAGCGGUGGAAUGCGUAGAUAUCGGGAGGAACACCAGUGGCGAAGGCGGCCUACUGGGCACCAACUGACGCUGAGGCUCGAAAGUGUGGGUAGCAAACAGGAUUAGAUACCCUGGUAGUCCACACUGUAAACGAUGAUUACUAGGUGUUGGAGGAUUGACCCCUUCAGUGCCGCAGUUAACACAAUAAGUAAUCCACCUGGGGAGUACGACCGCAAGGUUGAAACUCAAAGGAAUUGACGGGGGCCCGCACAAGCAGUGGAGUAUGUGGUUUAAUUCGACGCAACGCGAAGAACCUUACCAAGUCUUGACAUCCCUUGACGAUGCUGGAAACAGUAUUUCUCUUCGGAGCAAGGAGACAGGUGGUGCAUGGUUGUCGUCAGCUCGUGUCGUGAGAUGUUGGGUUAAGUCCCGCAACGAGCGCAACCCUUAUGGUCAGUUACUACGCAAGAGGACUCUGGCCGGACUGC